rnacentral:lncRNA from 1 species
UUUUUUUUUUUUUUUGGUCUUUUGUCUUUUUAGGUCACACCUGCGGCAUAUGGAGGUUCCCAGGCUAGGGGUCGAAUCAGAGCUGUUGCUGCCAUUCUAUGCCAGAGCCACAGAGGUGUGCCACAGCGAUGCCAGAUCCGAGCUGUGCCUGCAACCUACACCGUAGCUCAUCUGCAACCUACACCAUAGCUCAUGGCAAUGCCGGAUCCUUAACCCAUUGAGCGAGGCCAGGGAUCGAACCUGCAACCUCGUGGUUCCUAGUCGGAUUCUGCACCACAAUGAGAACUUGGACAUUAUAUAUAUCUUGAAUACCAGUGCAUUGUCAGUGUUGAGGAGGAGAUUUUCCUCUACCUAAAAAGAUUCUGGAUGAUCUAAGCAUUCAGUUGACCCAAGGCAGAUUACCAGGACAAAAUUAAGCAAGAGUUUUGUAUAUAUAAGAGAAACCUAGGAAAAUUGAAUGACUCACCAAAACAGCAGUUGGGGGGAGGUCAAAGUUUCUUCAGUCUUUUGGGCUUGAUUGUUUUCAGUUUGAAAUAAUCUAUAAGCAGAUUUUGCUUCUUUGUAUCACUUAGAUAUCAUAUAAAUAUAUUCUCCUGUUUUGCAGUUUCUCUUAUUUCUUUAGAUGGUGUAUUUUGAUGAACAGAAAUUCUUACUUUUUUUAAAGUGGUAGAUUUAGCUCUAUUUGGUCUUAAGAGUUCUUUCCCUGACACAAAGUAAUGAAAAUAUUCACUUGCAUUAUCUUUUAAAGCUUUAUAACUUUGUAAUUUGCAUUUAGUUCUGGAAUUUAUCUAAAAUUAAUUUUUUUUUGUGGACAGGCUAAGGUAGAAGUCUAAUGAAUUCAUUCCAUAUGUACACAAAAAUAACCUAGUAGCAUUUCCUGGAAAAAAAAAAAAUCUGUUCUUUCCUUGCUAGUCUGCAAUGCUACAUUUAGCAAAUAUUUACAUAUGCAUGGAUUUGUUUCUGGACUCUUUACUCUAUUACAUUGAUUUAUUUUCUUACUGCUGUGCCAAUAGUUACACUUUUUUACUACACCUAAUACGGUAAGUAUUCAUUCUUUUUUUUCCUUUUUUUCUUUUUUUUUUUUUUUAGGUGUAUUUUGGCUAUUUUGGCUUUUACUUUUCAGUAUGAUUUCCAGAGUUGACAAAAACCCUGACUGUAUUGAAUCUAUAGUUCAAUUUGGGAAUAUUUGGCAUCUUUACCAAACUGAAUUUUGCAAUUGUAGGGGAGGAAAAUUUGCCACCCCAAAAUGUCUCUGUCAUGUAGACGAUUUCGAGCUGAAAACAAUCAAGGCCCAAAAGACUCAGGAAAAUCUUUGACUCUCUCUCUGUCUAAGACUAUAGAUAGAGGACUUGUUCCCAAACCACUAACCUCAACAUCCCCUUUCAACUGUAGCUAUUAAAGGUGAGGGCUUCAGCCAUUUUUGUGAUUUACUCAGUUUUCCUGAGUCUGUCUUGUGUAUGCACAUUAUAAAACUUAAGUUUAAUUUUCUUCUGUUCAUCUAAUUCAUGUCCAUUUAGUUCUUGGAUCAGCCAGAGAAAAACUUCUUUCUCCACAACACAAUCCAUUUGUUUAUGUUGCCUUUAAGCACUACUUCUUUGAUGUAAGAAAUUAUGUCUCCAUUUACUAAAGAACUCAUCAGAGCAUCUGCAUAAGGAAGUGUGUGUGUGUGUGUGUGUGUGUGUGUGUGUGUGUGUGUGAUGCAUUCUUUCUAGUGAGUCUUACCAUCUGACCUCAGAGAAUAGAAAACAUCUGCUCUAUUGUUGUUGGUUUCUCUCUUUGCCACUUAAUAGUUCUUCAUUUUGAUAAGAUUUGCUAAUUUUCUUAGGUUGUGUUCGCGUAGUAGGGAUGGUUCUUUCUUAAAGGCCAAUGCUGAUUUGGAGCAUGGUCUCCUGACCACCUCUUUCUAGUUUCUGAUGAAUCCAGUUGCAUCAUAUUUCUGAAUUCAGCCCCACCAUGCAGUUAAUCAGGGGGAACAGAUUCUGGAUCUACUGCUGUGCUGGCCCAUAAGAACAAGAAGACUUAACUGAGUUCAGGCUUAGGUCAGAUUCUCCAAACCAGCUUUUGCCACAUGACUUUGUAUUUGUAGGGUUCUAGGAACCUUGCCCAGCCAGGGUUGCAUCCAGUACUCCCCUCUCAAUUUGGCUAUUAGUGAUAUGAGUACAGAAGUCCAGAAAGGCAAAGGUAGAUUUCAAGAGCUAAACUGUUCUUAAAAAUACAAUACUAAAUUUUUCACAAAGCAAGUUGUACCUUUAUGUAAUUACAACUAAUAAUAUUUUUUUUAAAAAAGCAUUUUGUUUCAUUAGAAUUAAAAUAUAACUUUCCUUUCUUUCUACUGAAUAAUUAUUAUUCUCUGAUUUUUAAAGCCUAAAGGUGAAAAGUCAUAGCUAAAUAUGAUAAAGGAAGCAGGCAUUUGAGGGUAUAUGCCUUUUCAAAACUGUACCAAUUGAGUUUAUUUUCCAAAUGCAAUUAGCAUGAAUCAAUGCAAAAGAAAUAAUCAUAGUAAUAACUAUUAUAUGUAUUUUUCAGCACUUUAUGUUUUCAAGUUACUUUAGUACUCAUUAUCUGUGUUCAUCACAAGCUAAGUGGCUUUUAUUCCCAUUUUAUGCUUGAGGAAACUGAUCAAAGAAGGUAGAUUAAUUACUGAGUUACCAAAAUAAAGAACAGUGUCUUCUGUGAUAUAAAAGAGAUAGACAAAGGCUCUGAUUCUAGGGUUAAUAAAUUAUAGAAUUAAAUUUUAAAUAUAUUUCUAUUUAACCCUAGUAACAGUGCAGAGUAGUAAAAAGGAUGCACCUUUGGAGUUAGACACAACUCCUCCAUCUACUAGCUGUGUGAUAAAGAACAAUGUACUUGAAACUUCCCCCAGCCUACUUUCUUUAUCUAUGCAAUGUGUAGCAGUAUCUAACCCUUAGGUUUUUGGCAGGAUUAUGUGAAAGCCUCUAGAAUGGUGCUCAGCACAUAGCAGUGUUUCAAUAAAUUGUAUCAAUAAUUUUAAUAAGUAAGUUUUUAAAUGUAAAAGGAGAUCUAAAUCAAGCAAGGGUAUAUAUUUUAAUCUAUAAUAUUAAAAAGAAUCCCAAACUUGAAUUUGAAAUACCUCUCUUUCAACUUGGGCAGAUUUUCAUUUCUUUCUGCAUUGAGGAACUUGUGAUAGGUCUGUUUGAAAGGGUCAGUGAAUGCUUCAUGGCUUGGGGAGGAAAAUAAUAAUGAGCAAUGGAAGCUGUGAUAUGCUGUUCAGAUUCCUGUUCACAACUGAAGAGCUUGUUACCCUAAUUGCUGGAAACCCUCAGUUGUCAUUCUCCUCUGAAAAUAGCCCAAAUUGGUGGGAGGAGCUGCUUCUCCCAAAGUCACAGCUCUUUUACAGGGAAGCUUACAUCCCUUGACUGGUUGAUAAAGACUUGACUUUCUCAUAACAAUAUGGAACAAAUCUGAAGGACCAUUUCACCUUCACAGCUCUUUGUGGCAUUUAGUUUUGAUCAUUGUUGAAACUGCAUUUCAUCCCAACUUUCCCCUCUGCCUGAUCUUGCUUACUUCCCUCCUCUUCCAUUUGUGUUGAUCCUAAAAGCACUUCUCAAUAAAUUUUCUGAAUGCCAAUCUCUGUCUCAGAGUAUGCUUCCUAUGAAUCGUAACCUGUAACAUAGUCUUACUCUAGUGUUCUAUGGCUUUCUGAGCCAGAUUUUUAUGUAAGACUACCCCUAAUAGAUACUAAUUGACAAAGCUGGAGAACACAAACUGGAUUUUAAUCUCAUCAGAUACCAUGUGUUACAUAGGUGAGCACAAGUCCUGUUUUUAGUUUCAUUGAUAAUACAUUCACCCCUUAUCAAGCAAGUUUCAGGAUAAUAGAUUCAUGCCAUUUAAGUAGCAAAAGUGAAUGGCAAGGUGGAGUAAUGAAUAUGCAAGAAAAAUGGAGAUAUGAAAUUAGGGGGUUGCAGAGUGAGCUGGAGUACUUUUAUUGAACAAAAAUGUCUCCCUGUUGUCACAUAAAAUCUAAUUUUUUUCCCCCCAGAAAUUAAGCCUUGUGAAUAUAUUCAGUUUCCCUUUCCUAAAACACUCAUCUACAACAGUGGGGAUGCUAAAGCAAACUACCCUGAAGAGAGCAAAUCCUAUUUUGCUAUAGGUUUAAAAUGUUCUUAUGGCUUAACUAUAUCCAGGUAGUCAACUGUGGCUAGAAAUGUACAACAUACACAGAAAUACACUUUCUUCAAGUUAGGAGGUAGAAGACGUGGCUUUUAGUUAAAUACAACUUGACUGCCUCAGGACUACCUCUUCCAUGUCCUGGUGCGUCUCUUUUCUAUAGCGCUCUUCAAACUGGAGCAUGUGGACAUACUGGUGGGCAAAGGUGCGUGCAUCAGCAGGAAAACCACCUCUUUGUGCUUUGAAUUUUUCUCGAAGCUUUGGGAAUUAUCACAUUUUUAUCUUCGUUUUAUUUUUUGCCCCAUGUUGCAUUUCCAAGUAAAUUGUAAGAAUAUCACUUUCCAUUUUGAUGUAUUUCCAUUUUGUCUCAAAAUUCUGGAGUGUAAAAUCUUUUAAUGCGUAGGCAGUGAUUUAUGUUAUGGAAGACCUAGGGCUGUGUGCAACGGAAGAGAUGCACCCCAAACAAAACACACUAAGGUCAUCAGUCUUUAGACUGAAGUACAGGAGGAAAAGAAGGAAGAAUAGAGUAUCUGAAGCUUAAGAAGGAAGCUCGUGGAAAGAAUGACAUAAUGAAAAUGCACACAACUUGUCUGUUGAAAAAAUUAGCUUCCUCAAGCCAGAUAUCUUGUUUGUAGAGUAUGUCUGUGAUGACAUGUUAAUUUUCACCGUGCUUAAU